rnacentral:lncRNA from 1 species
ACAAUUAUUGCUGCUUCAUUUGAAUAAGUCACUUAUUUUUAUCUAAUGUGCAGGGCUCUUCUUGGGUUUGUAUGUUUCGCUAGACUGGUACACAUUCUCUCUGCAUCCAAGUACAGUUUGAGGUUCCAGUGCAAGCAUGAAGACCCCAGUUUGUAUCUUCCAUCCUGUACAUAAAAUUGGUUAGUAUUUGAAUAAUCAUCCUUACUACCUCCAUUCCACAAUGUAGAGCGCACGCGCUUCCCGAGAUCCAAGUUUGACCGUAAAUUUAACCAACGAGACCGAUUAUGGCAGGAGCAAAAAUCGGUCUCGUUGGUUAAAUUUACGGUCAAACUUGGAUCUCGGGAAGCGCGGGCGCACUACAUUAUGGAAUGGAGGGAGUACAAUAGUUUCAUGCACUGUUUAGAAGGUCAAUCCACACUUCCUUCUUUUUUCCGUUAGCUGAAUGUGUAGUGUUCGUAUCUUUUUGAAUUGUUCCAGACUAUCAGUAUUAGAGUUCGAGCAAUAGCAACUAUGAACAGAAACAAAUUCACUCAUCCUUUUUGUCAUUUUAGUACUUUCUCAAUGAUCUGGUAAGAUUUGGUCGUAAGUAAAGCGAUAAUGCCAGGAUUGUAUGUGCUAAUUUACGAAGUAGUGUCUGACCAGCGGGACAUUUUUGUGUUCAAAAUAAAGAGGUAUCUGCUCUGGCAUAAUGCAUUUCUACAGAUAGAUAAUAUGGUUAUUGUUGAAACUGGAUGGUCACCUAUUUUUAUAAUUCUUCAAUGGAAUCAGAAGGUUGCUCAUGUAACUUGCUUUUGAUCUAUAUGCUGCCCAACUGUGCUUAUGUAACUAUUCACUGUUAAUUACUUGUAUUUGUUCAUUGCUACACACAUUUGUUUUUGUCAAUAUAUGCUGUGAAACGCUUAGUACAAAAUGAUGCCCUCCUAAGGGUUGUAAAGGAUGAUAUUCUUUUUGUGUUUCAAUCACACCCUGUUGUGUCCUUGGUGUAGGAACAUGCACUGACGGUGUCCUGCGGUGGUAUAAAGGCUGUGAAGUCUGUUAUGCAACCUGUUUUUGUCAUGAAAUAUUCCACAUGAACCAAAGUCGGGUUUUGGAUCUCAGUGCCCUGGUUUGAAAGCUUACUGUCCCAAAGGUCUCUCUGUUGAUGGAAGUCAUAUAUCUUCCCAAGUUUUUCAAGUUUGUACCCUUUAAUAGUAGAAGAAGCAAAUUCGUUCCAAUUGCAAAGAUGCGCUUCACCUGACGUGCACCUCGAUGGUUGAUACUCGCCUGCUCCUUGGUGUCAAGUGAGUGCUAUAUUUCAUAUCCAGUCUCUUUAUUUUCCAUGGAGAAAUUUAAUUAAUUAAUUAUUUUUUCCAGCUGGCCAUUCUGGAAGCAGGAAUUAUGCGCAUGAUCUCCCCUCAAGAUUGAGGCUAUCUUUGGCGCUAAUAGAUUCUCUAAUUUAAUCAAUAUUAUGGUCUCAGUUUUCACAUUGCCAAUUGAAACCAUCCAGCGCAUUGUAGGUACCGGCUGUUCUUUUGCAUUUUUCUUCACAUUGCCAUUUUGUAGCGGACUGAGACUCUUAUUUUGAUGAACUGUAAUGGAAUUAGGAGGUCAUAUGUGUUACUGGCUUUUCUUAGGUUGCAUGUUACCGAGUAAUCGAUGCAAAUCUGUUCAUAUGUAACCCAGUGCAUGUAUUUUUUGUUGGCACUAUUGCAAUUGUGUUUGACUGGUGACAUGCAUGUGUUCUUUGCUAAUUCAAUCAAUCACAAUGUGCUUUGAUGAGGCCAAAUCAUUAUACUGCUCACUUGCUCAAGCUAGUUCUUUUUGUAACUAUAUGACACUCAAAUCAAGCAAUGAUUAUGACUUAUCUCCUAGGAGAUAUGCUACUGUUAAUAAGACUAUAAUGAGUGAUCUGGACCUGUUGCACGGAUACGCGAUACGGGGCUACGCCCGAUACAGCAAUUUUCUAAAAACUAGAAUACAGGGAUACGUCUGUAUAUACAUAUUAAUUAUUAAAUAUAUGAAAAAUAACGAGUUUUUUUUUGUAGAAAAUGCACUGUUUUAUUAAAAAAAUCAAAGUCUUCACAAUUGCUUAACAAAUACUGCAUGGAUCUCUUGUUGCCUCUUUUCUCUUUCCCAGUAUUUUCCAACAUCUGGAUGUACCUCCACAAAGGCUUCUUCUCAUUAUCAUCUUCCGGAAUCACACGAGCAGCAGCCAAUACAUGGACUGCAUCCACGCUACCUCAACUACCUGCGUCACUUCUAACUGAAGAAGACCUAAUAGAUAUGGCCGAUCUGCACGGAAAAGGAGGAGAUUAGGAGGAGAUUCAGAGAAGGAGAUGGAGAAGAGAGAUCAGAGAAAGAGAGGGAGAUGAGAACAUACCUCCUGUAAGGGAGACACGGAUGUCUUCUGCCGGCGACGAG